rnacentral:rRNA from 2 species
UCAACAUGAGAGUUUGAUCCUGGCUCAGAACGAACGCUGGCGGCAGGCUUAACACAUGCA